rnacentral:rRNA from 1 species
GUGGAAUCUGCUGUGAAUCUGCCGGGACCACCCGGUAAGCCUAAAUACUCAGUGUGACCGAUAGUGUAUGAGUACCGUGAGGGAAUGGUGAAAAGUACCCCGGGAGGGGAGUGAAAUAGUUCCUGAAACCAUGUGCUUACAAUCCGUCAGAGCACCGUGUGUGUGUGAUGGCGUGCCUUUUGAAGAAUGAGCCUGCGAGUCAGCGGCAUGUCGCGAGGUUAACCCGUGUGGGGUAGCCGUAGGGAAACCGAAUCCUAAUGGGGUGUUAAGUGGCAUGUCCUGGACCCGAAGCGGGGUGAUCUACCCAUGGCCAGUGUGAAGCAGCUGUAAGAGGUUGUGGAGGCGCGAACCCACGUAGGUUGAAAACUGCGGGGAUGAGCUGUGGGUAGGGGUGAAAGGCCAAUCAAACUCCGUGAUAGCUGGUUCUCCCCGAAAUGCAUUUAGGUGCAGCGUCGUAUUAUAGCUUGGUGGAGGUAGAGCUACUGGUUGGUUGAGCGGGACUACAAUCUUAGCAAUGUCAGCCAAACUCCGAAUGCCACUAAUUGUGUUGUACGGCAGUGAGACUGUGGGGGAUAAGCUUCAUAGUCGAGAGGGAAACAGCCCAGAUCGCCGGUUAAGGCCCCUAAGGGUGUACUAAGUGGAAAAGGAUGUGGGAUCGCGAAGACAGCCAGGAGGUUGGCUUAGAAGCAGCCAUCCUUGAAAGAGUGCGUAAUAGCUCACUGGUCGAGUGGUUCUGCGCCGACAAUGUAGUGGGGCUCAAGUACACCGCCGAAGCCGCGGCAACUUUUUUGUUGGGUAGGGGAGCGUCGUGCAUGGGUUGAAGCGUUACCGUAAGGAGGCGUGGACUGUGUGCGAGUGA